rnacentral:rRNA from 1 species
UCCGUAGGUGAACCUGCGGAGGGAUCAUUAUCGAGUUAUUCAACUCCCAAACCCUAUGUGAACUUACCACUUGUUGCUUCGGCGCGCGCUUCGGCGCCGCCGAGGACACUUAAACUCUUUGUUUUUAUAAGCAUUUCUGAGUGGCCGAAAGGCAAAAAUACAAAUGAAUCAAAACUUUCAACAACGGAUCUCUUGGUUCUGGCAUCGAUGAAGAACGCAGCGAAAUGCGAUAAGUAAUGUGAAUUGCAGAAUUCAGUGAAUCAUCGAAUCUUUGAACGCACAUUGCGCCCGCCAGCAUUCUGGCGGGCAUGCCUGUUCGAGCGUCAUUUCAACCAUCAAGCCCCCGGGCUUGUGUUGGGGACCUGCGGCUGCCGCAGGCCCUGAAAAGCAGUGGCGGGCUCGCUGUCGCACCGAGCGUAGUAGCAUACAUCUCGCUCUGGUCGCGCCGCGGGUUCCGGCCGUUAAACCACCUUUUAACCCAAGGUUGACCUCGGAUCAGGUAGGAAGACCCGCUGAACUUAAGCAUAUCAAUAAGCGGAGGA